GCCAGUUCUGGAUGGAGCCUGCGUGUCCGUCUGGCAACCCGUAUCAACGACAGCUGCGUUCGAGGCGGCCGGCGCGCAGUAUAAAAAGCACCCAAGACUACACUUCGGGCACGACAUCGCACCAGACAAGAUGCCUUCAUGCUGCUUGAUGUUUCAGACUUCUCCAUAUACCUUGUAACGCUACCUAUGCAGCUGCUACAUGGUGUGCCACCUGAUGCAAUACUUUGCUACUGCAAUGCACGUAUGGACGCCACGCGGCGCGCAUCUCACAUCGCAAGACAAGUGGCAAGAUACGAUGCUAAUGAUGAUGAUGAUGAUAAUUUAUAGACAACUGCCAAGCUUGAUUUAAUCAGGAGGGACGCGGACUUCAAGGACGCCUACGGCGGGACCGUCGAGCACGAGCCGCCCAUUCCAUACUCGAUGGAGGCACUGCGGCUUCUGUGGCCGGGGAAGCGCCGGAUGGCCAUCUGGCCCGUCAGCCACUGUCAGCCACUGAAGUUC